AUUCCAUGAUGGAGAUAUUCUAGUAUGUAGUCUUGGAAGCACCUCCCAUGCUUCUAGAACAGAUUCAUCAUGUUGUUUCUGAAAACUUGUAAUUUUCCCACGGAGAGC
rnacentral:snoRNA from 1 species